CGUAGGGUCCGAGCGUUGUCCGGAAUUAUUGGGCGUAAAGGGCUUGUAGGCGGUUUGUCACGUCGGAAGUGAAAACUCAGGGCUCAAUCCUGAGCCUGCUUCCGAUACGGGCAAACUAGAGGAUGCAGGGGAGAAUGGAAUUCCUGGUGGAGCGGUGGAAUGCGCAGAUAUCAGGAGGACACCGGUGGCGAAGGCGGUUCUCUGGGCAUUUUCCUGACGCUGAGAAGCGAAAGCGUGGGGAGCAAACAGGCUU
rnacentral:rRNA from 1 species